CGCAGAUGAUGGCAAUCUCACGAUGGUCUGCCGAGCCCGCGCGGGCCUGACGACACUGCCACAUGGCUUCACUGAUGCAGGGAC